rnacentral:rRNA from 1 species
UACGUAGGGGGCAAGCGUUGUCCGGAUUUAUUGGGCGUAAAGAGCGUGUAGGCGGCCUGGAUAGUCUGGUGUGAAAUCUUGGGGCUCAACCCCAAGCGGUCACUGGAUACUUCCAGGCUUGAAUCCGGAAGAGGAGAGUGGAAUUCCUGGUGUAGCGGUGGAAUGCGCAGAUAUCAGGAGGAACACCAACGGCGAAGGCAGCUCUCUGGUACGUGAUUGACGCUGAGACGCGAAAGCGUGGGUAGCAAACAGG